GUGAAAUGCAUAAUUUUUUAUUUAAAAUUGUUGAUUUAUAAAUAUUAAAAAUUUGUUUACAUUAAUACAUAAAUAUAAAUUAAGGUUAACUGAAUCCUAUAGCGAUAAUUUACAUCCAUAGUAAUUCUAAAAUUGAGAAAGAAUAAAACAACUGAAGUAAUAGCUUUUUUUUAUCAUCAUUUUAGAGUAGAAAAUCAUAAUUGCAAAGUACAAGAAACAUAGAAAAGAAAAAAUAUAAAAAGUUUAAGGUGCUUGUACAAUAAUUAAAUGACAGUUUAUGAAACAUUUUGCUACCGUUAGAAGGGCUAGAGCGGAUAACUAAAAAUACAAAAGUUGUCCAUGCAUAUAAUAGUUACACCUUUAUGAACAGUUCUUGGGCAAUCAUCAUCGAUUUCACAUUUAAUACGAGCU
rnacentral:lncRNA from 1 species